UACGUAGGGUGCAAGCGUUGUCCGGAAUUACUGGGCGUAAAGCGCACGUAGGCGGCUUUCUAAGUCGGGGGUGAAAUCCUGGAGCUCAACUCCAGAACUGCCUUCGAUACUGGAGAGCUUGAGUCCGGGGAGAGGUGAGUGGAACUGCGAGUGUAGAGGUGAAAUUCGUAGAUAUUCGCAAGAACACCAGUGGCGAAGGCGGCUCACUGGCCCGGUACUGACGCUGAGGUGCGAAAAGCGUGGGGGAGCAAACAGGGAUUAAGAAACCCU
rnacentral:rRNA from 1 species